rnacentral:misc_RNA from 1 species
AACAUACCUAAAACGUUGCUUCGGCGGGAACAGACGGCCCCGUAAGACGGGCCGCCCCCGCCAGAGGACCCCUAACUCUGUUGCUAUAUGUAUCUUCUGAGUAAACAAGCAAAUAAAUUAAAACUUUCAACAACGGAUCUCUUGGCUCUGGCAUCGAUGAAGAACGCAGCGAAAUGCGAUAAGUAAUGUGAAUUGCAGAAUUCAGUGAAUCAUCGAAUCUUUGAACGCACAUUGCGCCCGCCAGUAUUCUGGCGGGCAUGCCUGUUCGAGCGUCAUUACAACCCUCAGGCCCCCGGGCCUGGCGUUGGGGAUCGGCGGAACCCCCCCGCGGGCACGCGCCGUCCCCCAAAUACAGUGGCGGUCCCGCCGCAGCUUCCAUUGCGUAGUAGCUAACACCUCGCAACUGGAGAGCGGCGCGGCCAUGCCGUAAAACACCCAACUUCUGAA